GUCUCUGGCCAUGCCACCCUGAGCAAGCCCGAUCCUGUCUGAUCUCAAAAGCUAUGCAGGGUCAGGCCUGGUUAGUACUUGGAUGGGAGACCACCUAGGAAGACCAGGUGCUGUAGGCA
rnacentral:rRNA from 1 species